rnacentral:rRNA from 1 species
GUGGGGAAUAUUGGACAAUGGGCGCAAGCCUGAUCCAGCCAUGCCGCGUGAGUGAUGAAGGCCUUAGGGUUGUAAAGCUCUUUCAGUGGGGACGAUAAUGACGGUACCCACAGAAGAAGCCCCGGCUAACUUCGUGCCAGCAGCCGCGGUAAUACGAAGGGGGCUAGCGUUGUUCGGAUUUACUGGGCGUAAAGCGCACGUAGGCGGUUUGUUAAGUCAGGGGUGAAAUCCCGGAGCUCAACUCCGGAACUGCCUUUGAUACUGGCAAGCUAGAGUCCGGAAGAGGUAAGUGGAACUCCUAGUGUAGAGGUGGAAUUCGUAGAUAUUAGGAAGAACACCAGUGGCGAAGGCGGCUUACUGGUCCGGAACUGACGCUGAGGUGCGAAAGCGUGGGGAGCAAACAGGAUUAGAAACCCGGGUAGUCC